UCAAACCAGGCACAGGAGAGGGACUGCCUGCAAGUGACAAUGCCGUAAGGGAACAAACACUGUUUGUUCUCAACUGACUGCACUUCCGCCUCCUCCCCUUUCAUUCAGGACUCGGUGCUAGCGAUGCUCCCUCCAUCUCCCUGACAUGCUGUUUGCAAGUACUUUUAUCUGAGGAAAGCAGGCUGGACAAAGCAUAUGAGCACACGUGGAGAGCCCUUCAGCAGCAGCAUCCUCUGAGGACUUCUGGAGGUCUUCCCCUGCUCUGGCUGACAGCAAUGGGACCAAGGGGAGACAGCAGCAGCCACUCUACAACAGGCUCUGCCAUGCACAGAAAGCCAGAGCAAAGUGGCAUGGCACCAGGGACAACAGAUCAUCUGCCUCACAUCUUCAGAAACAGGACAGCAUGACAGCCAGAAUAGAGUGCAGGACAGAGGCUGCUCAGGGCCUGGGUCCA